GGGCAGCCAGCAGGAGAGGUCGCAAGUCACUCCAGUAAGAUGCUCCGACUUGCAGCACCCCCCCCUCCUGCAGCCUCCGCCGGCCCUCCCAGGCCUCACCGCCCUCCUGUGGCUCCCCCACACUCUUUACCCGGGACUCCCACCACUUCCCACUUAACAACCUUGGCAACCGGGUCUGCAGGAAUUGUCGUCGCUAAGCGAUGCGGUCCCGCUUUACGACGUCAUCGCUUAGCGAUGGAACUUCCAGUCCCAAUUCUGUUGCAACCUGAGGACUACUUGUAGAGAUACAGAUGAUGUUAAUUUUUGCCUGUUGUUCAUAUCUUUCUCCCUGCUGUCCCCAUUUAUGUCAGUUAAGCGUUUUUGAUGUUGGCCGAUGUUUAAUAAACAAAGCUCCAACUCUGUUUUUUGCUGGCUGAACUGAAUGGGGAGUGUCUUGCUCUGAUCUGGAUGUAGGAAUCAACUGGGUGUGUGCUGGGAGCAGACGAAGCAGGAAGUGACCCACGGUCAUUUUCCAGAUGUUUGGGCCUUUUAUUGCAUCCUUUUGUUUUGGCCCCAGAUGCUGACAGCUCAGAAGAGGACUCGGACGAAUGCCGCUGCCUGAACGGGCACUGUGUCCGCACCCAGCAGGGCUUUGUGUGCGAAUGUCCCUCGGGCUUCCAGCUGGACGCCACUCGCACCCGCUGCCUGGAUAUCGACGAGUGCCAGGAAUUAAACCAACGGGGCCGGCUUUGUAAAACCGAGCGCUGCGUGAACACGAGCGGUUCCUACUUUUGUACCUGCAAGGCGGGCUAUUCGCGCUCCUGGCCUCGCGGAAUCUGCAUUCCCCAGCGAUAGCGCGUAGAACCCACCACCGUGGAAGGGCAGGGGACGUGGGCAUCGGAGAGCCAGAUUCUUCUCUGCCCCCCGGCCAUGGUGAGCUGCUUCUCGCUGCCCACUGUUGGAAACUGGAUACUGGGCUGGGAGCACCUUUUUUCCCUAAGUUCAGCAAGGCGGUUCUCACUUUAUUAAGGACCUUUUUUGAAAAAAAAAGUUGUACCAGCUACGAUGAAGGGGCAUUGAUUUUGCUAUAGAUUUUGUACCUAUCCGCGUUUCUGUUCCUUUAACCCGCUGGAUUGUUAGGGUUGUUGUUUUUUUUAAAUGCAGUUGGUUUGCACUCAUUUCUAUAGGAUUCAGAACUAAAAAACUUUUUUGUACAUAAUAGACAUUGAUGGAAGGAGAAUAAAAGAAGAAAACUUUGAAAUUAAUCAGCUAAUUAAAAAAAAAGGAAAUUGCCAUAAAA